UACGUAGGGUGCAAGCGUUGUCCGGAAUUAUUGGGCGUAAAGGGCUCGUAGGCGGUCCAUCGCGUCGGGAGUGAAAAGCUGGGGCUUAACCCCAGUCCUGCUUCCGAUACGGGCAAACUAGAGUACUGCAGGGGAGACUGGAAUUCCUGGUGUAGCGGUGAAAUGCGCAGAUAUCAGGAGGAACACCGGUGGCGAAGGCGGGUCUCUGGGCAGUAACUGACGCUGAGGAGCGAAAGCGUGGGGAGCGAACAGG
rnacentral:rRNA from 1 species